GGCUGUGGCUGCUGCCAGCCCAGGUGCUGCCAGACCAUCUGCUGCAGAACCACUUGCUGCCGCCCCAGCUGCUGUGGCUCCAGCUGCUGCAGCCCCUGCUGUGGUGGUUCCAGUGGCUGUGGCUCCAGUGGCUGUGGCUCCUGCUGCUGCCAGCCCAUCUGCUGUAGGACCACCUGCUGCAGGACCACCUGCUGCCACCCCAGCUGCUGUGGGUCCAGCUGCUGCAGCCCCUGCUGUGGUGGCUCCAGUAGCUGAGGAGGUU
rnacentral:sRNA from 1 species